rnacentral:rRNA from 2 species
GUUUGAACCUGGGUCUAGAAGUCGUGCAGGGCCCGUAGACUGGGAUAACUUCUGGAAACCGGAGCUAAUACCGGAUAUGUUCUUUUCUCGCAUGAGAGAAGAUGGAAAGACGGCUUCUCCCUGUCCCUUAUAAAUGGGCCCGCGCCCCAUUACCUAGUUGGUGAGGUAAGGGCUCACCAAGGCAACGAUGCGUACCCAACCUGAAAGGGUGAUCGGCCACACUGGGACGGAAACACGGCCCAAACUCCUACGGAAGGCAGCAGUAGGGAAUCUUUCCGCAAUGGACGAAAUUYUGACGGAGCAACSCCSCGUGAACGAUGAAGGCUUUCGGGUCGUAAAGUUCUGUUGUUAGGGAAGAACAAGUACCAGAGUAACUGCUGGUACCUUGACGGUACCUAACCAAAAAGCCACGGCUAACUACGUGCCAGCAGCCGCGGUAAUACGUAGGUGGCAAGCGUUAUCYGGAAUUAUUGGGCGUAAAGCGCGCGCAGGUGGUUCCUUAAGUCUGAUGUGAAAGCCCCCGGCUCAACCGGGGAGGGUCAUUGGAAACUGGGGAACUUGAGUGUAGAAGAGGAAAGUGGAAUUCCACGUGUAGCGGUGAAAUGCGUAGAGAUGUGGAGGAACACCAGUGGCGAAGGCGACUUUCUGGUCUAUAACUGACACUGAGGCGCGAAAGCGUGGGGAGCAAACAGGAUUAGAUACCCUGGUAGUCCACGCCGUAAACGAUGAGUGCUAAGUGUUAGAGGGUUUCCGCCCUUUAGUGCUGCAGCUAACGCAUUAAGCACUCCGCCUGGGGAGUACGGCCGCAAGGCNUGAAACUCAAAGGAAUUGACGGGGGCCCGCACAAGCGGUGGAGCAUGUGGUUUAAUUCGAAGCAACGCGAAGAACCUUACCAGGUCUUGACAUCCUCUGACACUCCUAGAGAUAGGACGUUCCCCUUCGGGGGACAGAGUGACAGGUGGUGCAUGGUUGUCGUCAGCUCGUGUCGUGAGAUGUUGGGUUAAGUCCCGCAACGAGCGCAACCCUUGAUCUUAGUUGCCAGCAUUCAGUUGGGCACUCUAAGGUGACUGCCGGUGAUAAACCGGAGGAAGGUGGGGAUGACGUCAAAUCAUCAUGCCCCUUAUGACCUGGGCUACACACGUGCUACAAUGGAUGGUACAAAGAGCUGCAAACUCGCGAGGGUAAGCGAAUCUCAUAAAGCCAUUUUCAGUUCGGAUUGCAGCCUGCAUC